rnacentral:rRNA from 1 species
GGAUUAGAUACCCUGGUAGUCCACGCCGUAAACGAUGUGUGCUAGUUGUCGGGCCCUUAGGGUUCGGUGACGCCGCUAACGCAUUAAGCACACCGCCUGGGGAGUACGGUCGCAAGAUUAAAACUCAAAGAAAUUGACGGGGACCCGCACAAGCGGUGGAGCAUGUUGUUUAAUUCGAAGCAACGCGAAGAACCUUACCAGGACUUGACAUCCUGAUCGCGGUUACCAGAGAUGGUUUCCUUCAGUUCGGCUGGAUCAGUGACAGGUGCUGCAUGGCUGUCGUCAGCUCGUGUCG